AUUCCUACGGGAGGCAGCAGUAGGGAAUAUUGGUUAAUGUGCGAAAGCGCGAACCAGCAACGCCGCGUGUGCGAUGAAGGCCUUCGGGUCGUAAAGCACUUUUUGCAGGGACGAGGAAGGACGGUACCUGCAGAAUAAGUCUCGGCUAACUACGUGCCAGCAGCCGCGGUAAAACGUAGGAGACGAGCGUUAUCCGGAUUUACUGGGCGUAAAGCGCGUGCAGGCGGCAUGGCAAGUUGGAUGUGAAGGCUCCCGGCUUAACUGGGAGAGGUCGUUCAAUACUGCCAGGCUUGAGAGUGGUAGAGGGAAGCGGAAUUCCGGGUGUAGUGGUGAAAUGCGUAGAUAUCCGGAGGAACACCAGUGGCGAAAGCGGCUUCCCGGCCCAUUUCUGACGCUCAGACGCGAAAGCUAGGGUAGCAAACGGGAUUAGAGACCCCGGUAGUCCUAGCCGUAAACGAUGUAGACUUGGCGUCGGCAGGUUCAAAUCUGUCGGUGCCGGAGCAAACGCGAUAAGUCUACCGCCUGGGGACUACGGCCGCAAGGUUAAAACUCAAAUGAAUUGACGGAAU
rnacentral:rRNA from 1 species